UUUUUGGUUUGAAGUCGUUUAAAAACGUACUUAAAAGGCUAAUUAAUAUACAUGAAGUAUGUAAGUUAAUUUCGGAAUUAAUUCUUUUAGUUCAGUAUAAUUGCUCUGUAUAUAAAGGACGUUUGUUGAUCUAAAUAGUUAGGCUGUGUAGUUUUUUCGACGCAUAUUCAUCAUGAAAUUCACUUUAAUUCUAUGUUUUGUUUUAGCCGUCAUUGCUUCAGCAAACGGCCAAAACACACGGUUUCCAUUCUGGAACAUAAUAUUCAGAACCCGAAGCACUACUCCGAGCUCCAGCACUGUUAUCCAGUCUAGUACCAGUUUCACACCCGAAGCCUUCAGUACCAGCCCCUAGAAACAAAAUAGACUUUUGCAUCAGGAACACAACUUAAUCAAGAAUUUUGCUGUACAACAUUUUCGGAAAUAUAAAAAAAACUUUCGUCUUUCAUCAUAAUGGAGGCCACUGCCUCUACUCACUCGCCAAUCGUUUGUACUAUUACUAUUCUCACAUUAUGUCUUUUGACGGCAUGGGUUCGUACUAUCAUACUACCUUUUCUGGACCGCUUUUUUUUCCUUCAAUAAAAUCGAUAAUUUCAUUUUACUACGGGUUUUACCAAGCGCUUAACAUAAGGUGGACCUUGUCUGCCCGUCUAGGACAUAAGCCAAAUUCUAUUAACGACUCGUGUUGUUUGUAUGUAAAAUAAAAUCAUUGCCAACUGA